AUGUUAUAAUCCUAUCAGAGACACAGAAGGGACAUUCUGAUAUGUACUGCAGUAACAUUCUGAUAUGUACUGCAGUAACAUUCUGAUAUGUACUGUCAUAACAGCAUGUUAUAAUCCUAUCAGACACAGAAGGAACAUUCUGAUAUGUACUGCAGUAACAUUCUGAUAUGUACUGCAGUAACAUUCUGAUAUGUACUGCAGUAACAUUCUGAUAUGUACUGUCAGUAACAUUCUGAUAUGUACUGCAGUAACAUUCUGAUAUGUACUGCAGUAACAUUCUGAUAUGUACUGUCAGUAAUAUUCUGAUAUGUACUGCAGUAACAUUCUGAUAUGUACUGUCAUAACAUUCUGAUAUGUACUGCAGUAACAGCUGUUAUACUAUCAGACACAGAAGUAACAUUCUGAUAUGUACUGCAGUAACAUUCUGAUAUGUACUGCAGUAACAUUCUGAUAUGUACUGUCAGUAACAUUCUGAUAUGUACUGUCAGUAACAUUCUGAUAUGUACUGUCAUAACAGCAUGUUAUAAUCCUAUCAGAGACACAGAAGGGACAUUCUGAUAUGUACUGCAGUAACAUUCUGAUAUGUACUGCAGUAACAUUCUGAUAUGUACUGUCAGUAACAUUCUGAUAUGUACUGCAGUAACAUUCUGAUAUGUACUGCUGAUAUGUACUGCAGUAACAUUCUGAUAUGUACUGCAG
ensembl:lncRNA